UCAAGUGCCUUAAGGGUGUUCGGUGGAUGCCUUGGCGCUGAGAGGCGAUGAAGGACGUGCUACGCUGCGAUAAGCCGUGGGGAGCUGCGAAGAAGCUUUGAUCCACGGAUUUCCGAAUGGGGAAACCCACCUUCGAUAGCCGGAACUCCAAGGCCUUGUGUCUUGGUGUUUGAAUAGAAAUAUUUGAUGCCAAGCCGCGAGGUUUUGGAUUUCCGGUUAUCAAGUGAAGGUAUGAAACUUCUGAAUUCAUAGGAGGUUUUAAGCGAACCCAGGGAACUGAAACAUCUAAGUACCUGGAGGAAAGGACAUCAACAGAGACUCCGUUAGUAGUGGCGAGCGAACGCGGACCAGGCCAGUGAUACAUCAAAGACAACCGGAACCUGUCAGGAAAGCAGGGCCUCAGAGGGUGAUAGCCCCGUACGGGUAAUGCAAUGAUGUGUCCUUGAGUAAGGCGGAACACGUGCAAUUCUGUCUGAACGUGGGGGGACCACCCUCCAAGCCUAAGUACUCCUCAGCGACCGAUAGUGAACCAGUACCGUGAGGGAAAGGUGAAAAGCACCCCGACGAGGGGAGUGAAAUAGACCUGAAACCGGACACCUACAAACAGAUGGAGCCCAAGAUACGUUCUGGGUGACAUCGUACCUUUUGUAUUAUGGGCCAGCGACUUAAUUUAACGAGCAAGCUUAAGCCGAUAGGUGUAUGCGCAGCGAAAGCGAGUCUGAAUAGGGCGCCAAGUUCGUUGUAUUAGACCCGAAACCUAGUGAUCUAGCCAUGAGCAGGUUGAAGGUGAGGUAACACUCACUGGAGGACCGAACGGGUGUCUGUUGAAAAAGACUCCGAUGACUUGUGGUUAGGGGUGAAAGGCCAAUCAAACUGGGAAAUAGCUGGUUCUCCGCGAAAGAUAUUUAGGUAUCGCCUCGCAUGAAUGCUUCGGGGGGUAGAGCACUGGAUGGGCUAGGGGGACUUACCGUCUUACCAAACCCAACCAAACUCCGAAUACCUGAGAGUACUAUCCGGGAGACACACGGCGGGUGCUAACGUCCGUCGUGGAGAGGGAAAAAACCCUGACCAACAGCUAAGGCCCCUAAUUCGUGGCUAAGUGUGAAAGGAUGUGGGAAUCCCAAAACAACCAGGAGGUUGGCUUAGAAGCAGCCAUCCUUUAAAGAAAGCGUAACAGCUCACUGGUCUAAAUAAGGGUUUCUGCGCCGAAGAUGUACCGGGGCUCAAGCCAUGAGCCGAAGCUUUGGGUUCGUCGCAAGACGAGCGGUAGCGGAGCGUUCCGUAGGCUGAUGAAGGGAGACCCGUGAGGGCUCCUGGAGGCAUCGGAAGUGCGAAUGCUGACAUGAGUAACGACAAACACUGUGAAAGACAGUGUCGCCGAAAGUCCAAGGGUUCCUGCGUAAAGUUAAUCUUCGCAGGGUUAGCCGGUCCCUAAGGCGAGGCAGAAAUGCGUAGUCGAUGGGAAUGCAGUGAAUAUUCUGCAGCCAGUGGAAUGGUGACGAAUCUCGUAUGUUGUCUGACCUUAUUGGAUUGGUCGGGCCUCGAAGAGGUUCCAGGAAAUAGCCUCCACAUUAGACCGUACCCGAAACCGACACAGGUGGACUGGUAGAGUAUACCAAGGCGCUUGAGAGAACUAUGUUGAAGGAACUCGGCAAUUUACCUCCGUAACUUCGGGAUAAGGGGGCCCUCUAUGUACGCAAGUGCAUAGGGGGGGCACAGACCAGGGGGUGGCAACUGUUUAACAAAAACACAGGGCUCUGCGAAAUCGCAAGAUGACGUAUAGGGUCUGACGCCUGCCCGGUGCCGGAAGGUUAAGAGGAGGAGUGCAAGCUCUGAAUUGAAGCCCCGGUAAACGGCGGCCGUAACUAUAACGGUCCUAAGGUAGCGAAAUUCCUUGUCGGGUAAGUUCCGACCUGCACGAAUGGCGUAAUGACUUCCCCGCUGUCUCCAGCGUCAGCUCAGUGAAAUUGAAUUCCCCGUGAAGAUGCGGGGUUCCUGCGGUCAGACGGAAAGACCCCGUGCACCUUUACUGUAGCUUUGC
rnacentral:rRNA from 1 species